AGCGAACGCUGGCGGCAGGCUUAACACAUGCAAGUCGAACGCAUCCUUCGGGGUGAGUGGCAGACGGGUGAGUAACACGGGGGAACGUACCCUUCGAUCUGGGAUAACUUCGGGAAACUGGAGCUAAUACCGGAUACGCCCUUUUGGGGAAAGGUUUACUGUCGAAGGAUCGGCCCGCGUCUGAUUCGCUGGUUGGUGGGGUAACGGCCUACCAAGGCGACGAUCAGUAGCCGGUCUGAGAGGAUGAUCAGCCACACUGGGACUGAGACACGGCCCAGACUCCUACGGGAGGGAGCAGUGGGGAAUAUUGGACGAGGGGCGCAAGCCUGAUCCAGCCAUGCCGCGUGAGUGAUGAAGGCGUUAGGGUUGUAAAGCUCUUUUGUCCGGGACGAUAAUGACGGUACCGGAAGAAUAAGCCCCGGCUAACUUCGUG
rnacentral:rRNA from 1 species